rnacentral:rRNA from 1 species
AGUGAACGCUGGCGGCGUGCUUAACACAUGCAAGUCGAACGAGAACGGAUUAUAGCUUGCUAUAAUCGUCAGCUAAGUGGCGCACGGGUGAGUAAUGUAUAGGUAAUAUGCCUCUUACUAAGGGAUAACAAAUGGAAACGUUUGCUAAUACCUUAUACUCCUUAUUAACAGAAGUUAAUAAGGGAAAGAUUUAUUGGUAAGAGAUUAGCCUGUAUUGUAUCAGUUAGUUGGUGGGGUAAUGGCUUACCAAGACUAUGACACAUAACUGGUUUAAGAGGAUGAUCAGUCACACUGGAACUGAGACACGGUCCAGACUCCUACGGGAGGCAGCAGUGGGGAAUAUUGCACAAUGGACGGAAGUCUGAUGCAGCAACGCCGCGUGGAGGAUGACACAUUUCGGUGCGUAAACUCCUUUUAUAUGAGAAGAUAAUGACGGUAUUAUAUGAAUAAGCACCGGCUAACUCCGUGCCAGCAGCCGCGGUAA